AUUGAACGCUGGCGGCAGGCCUAACACAUGCAAGUCGAACGAGUGGCGGACGGGUGAGUAAUGUCUGGGAAACUGCCUGAUGGAGGGGGAUAACUACUGGACACGGUAGCUAAUACCGCAUCCCCUCGUAUGUGCACAGAUGGGAUUAUCUUGUAGGUGGGGUAACGGCUCACCUAGGAGACGAUCCCUAGCUGGUCUGAGAGGAUGACCAGACACACUGGAACUGAGACACGGUCCAGACUCCUACGGGAGGUAGCAGUGGGGAAUAUUGCACAAUGGGCGCAAGCCUGAUGCAGCCAUGCCGCGUGUAUGAAGAAGGCCUUCGGGUUGUAAAGUACUUUCAGCGGGGAGGCGUUACCCGCAGAAGAAGCACCGGCUAACUCCGUGCCAGCAGCCGCGGUAAUAC
rnacentral:rRNA from 1 species